rnacentral:rRNA from 1 species
AGUCAACAUGCCCAGGGGACGUGGAUAACCUCGGGAAACUGAGGAUAAACCGCGAUAGGUCAUCACUUCUGGAAUGGGUAAUGACUUAAAUCUAUAUGGCCCCUGGAUUGGACUGCGGCCGAUCAGGCUGUUGGUGAGGUAAUGGCCCACCAAACCUGUAACCGGUACGGGCUCUGAGAGGAGGAGCCCGGAGAUGGGCACUGAGACAAGGGCCCAGGCCCUAUGGGGCGCAGCAGGCGCGAAACCUCUGCAAUAGGCGAAAGCUUGACAGGGUUACUCUGAGUGAUUUCCGUUAAGGAGAUCUUUUGGCACCUCUAAAAAUGGUGCAGAAUAAGGGGUGGGCAAGUCUGGUGUCAGCCGCCGCGGUAAUACCAGCACCCCGAGUGGUCGGGACGCUUAUUGGGCCUAAAGCAUCCGUAGCCGGUUCUACAAGUCUUCCGUUAAAUCCACCUGCUUAACAGAUGGGCUGCGGAAGAUACUAUAGAGCUAGGAGGCGGGAGAGGCAAGCGGUACUCGAUGGGUAGGGGUAAAAUCCGUUGAUCCAUUGAAGACCACCAGUGGCGAAGGCGGCUUGCCAGAACGCGCUCGACGGUGAGGGAUGAAAGCUGGGGGAGCAAACCGGAUUAGAUACCCGGGUAGUCCCAGCUGUAAACGAUGCAGACUCGGUGAUGAGUUGGC